rnacentral:rRNA from 1 species
CCUACGGGAGGCUGCAGUGAGGAAUAUUGGUCAAUGGGCGCUAGCCUGAACCAGCCAAGCAGCGUGAAGGAUGACUGCCCUACGGGUUGUAAACUUCUUUUAUAUGGGAAUAAAGUGCAGUAUGUAUACUGCUAUGCAUGUACCUUAUGAAUAAGGAUCGGCUAACUCCGUGCCAGCAGCCGCGGUAAUACGGAGGAUUCGAGCGUUAUCCGGAUUUAUUGGGUUUAAAGGGUGCGUAGGCGGGUUGUUAAGUCAUUUGUGAAAGGUUGCGGCUCAACCGUAAGAUUGCAGUUGAUACUGGCAUCCUUGAGUACAGGAGAGGUAGGCGGAAUUCGUGGUGUAGCGGUGAAAUGCUUAGAUAUCGCGAAGAACUCCGAUUGCGAAGGCAGCCUGCUGGACUUUAACUGACGCUGAGGCUCGAAAGUGUGGGUAUCGAACAGGAUUAGAUACCCGUGUAGUC